AUACGUAGUUAAAAAUAUAAUUUACUACGGAAACAAAAGAAGGUACAAUUUGCUCACCUUUUAAUUUAAGAUCAAGUUUUAAUUUAUUCAUGUUUUAAGUAAUAUUUUAUUUGAUUCUCCUUCUCUAUUAUUAUGAACUCUAUAAUAGAGAAGCCCAAUGGCCAUAAAGCAGUCGUGUCAUUGCUCAAUUGUUCAAUCGUAGUUGAUUGUAUAUAUGACUUUAUAAUACAAUUACCGUUACCAAAAAAAAAAUCUUUUAGAGAUACAGUAACUCCGUACGUGUCCAUUUAUUUCUACAACUGAAACAUUAAUCUUUGACUUUGACAUAUUCAAACUUGGUGGCUUUGGUUCUGUCCGAUAUAUAUAUGUGUGUGUACAUAUAGCAUGUAACAUGCUAUAUGUCAUAAAAGAGGAAGGAUGGCUACAAGGAGACCAUGUAUUGCUCUUGUGCUUGCUUGGAUUCUAUUUGUUACAUGCCUUUCUUCUCAAUUUGGAUUCAUCGAGGCUUCACACCGAAAAUUAGGGUUUUCCUCUAACGUUGGAAUCACGGAGGCUACGCACCGUGAACCAGGUAUAUUUCGACGUCAGUUGCAACGGGGUCCGAUGUGUCCACCUAUAUACACCCCGGGCUCAAAAUCAUGCCGAGGUGCCGGUCCAUAAAAAAUGUGAUGGGGACUUGAUAUAUAACGUAUACGACCAUGGAUUAUAUGUAUAAUAAAUUGAAGAAAGUACACGCAUGAUAUUUCGUGUAAGAGAAUGAUCCAAAUAGUCACAUGAACAUUUUUCAUUGAUAUGUUUCCGCGAUAUGUCCUAUGGAUAGGCUUUUGUAUCGCAAAACAAUUUAUUUCUUUAACUGAUUUGUCUCCUAAAUGCGUAUUUGAAAAUGUGCACAUGUUAAUUCAAGAUAAGAAUAAAAAAGAAUAAAUAAUAAAUUUACUUGUUAUAAAAGCAAUAAAUUAAUGAUAAAUAAUAAAUUUAUGGCAGAGUAUAUUAAAUACUAAUAAUAUUUAAGGGAGUGUUGAUUCGUUACAAAUGGGAUUACAGAUCAUUAUAUUUAAAUAAAGAAAAUUCAUUUCAUCAUAUUCUUUGACUAUUACUGUAUUGAAGCUUACGUCUCGAUCGGUCAACGGCAAAAAAGUCAUGUGAAACUUUGAAACCGCGUCGAUAUUUAUUGUUAAUUUAAAGCUUUGUUAAUGGUUGAAAGUUAGGUGGUAUGGCCAUUGGCCAUUGAUUCUCUCUCUCUAUAUAUAUAUAUAUAUGUAUAUAUGCAUGUAUGAUAGAAAGAGCAAAGACUUACAAGUAAGCAUCCGAGACUUGCAAUGGCGACGAAGACAUCAUCGAGAGUGGCUCUUCUCUUAGCUCUGCUUCUUCUCCUUCUCUGUCUUUCCUCAAACGUUGGAGUCGUCGUCGUCGUCGAGGCCAAACACCGCAAACUAGGAACUAUAUGGACAGGCCCCUCCACAUCGGGGCACGGUGGAGGAAGAAUCAAUUCAGAAAGGAUGACGAAGACACAAACCCAAUUCCACAAAAACUCGGAAGUUGCGAAACAUAAAAACACAUUUCCAUGAUUAAUUAAUAAUUCCCAUGGAAUUGAAUAAAUCAAUCGACGCAUAAAUAAUUAAUAAAGCGUAUGUAAUCGUGUCUAGGAAUCAAUGGUCCACUACUACUAGGUGAUGUUCUUGUUGUUUCUGAUGUUGUAGUUGUCGUCCUACAAUGGACUGGUUCCUCUGUAUGUUAAAUAAUUUCCUCCUCAUGUAGUUGCUGCCCUAAUAUAUAUUGGUACUAAUUAUGCUUUUUUUCUUCUUCUGGAAAUUCAAUAAAAUAAUGU